UACGAAGGGGGCUAGUGUUGCUCGGAAUUACUGGGCGUAAAGCGCACGUAGGCGGAUUGUUAAGUCGGGGGUGAAAUCCUGGAGCUCAACUCCAGAACUGCCUUCGAUACUGGCGAUCUCGAGUUCGGGAGAGGUGAGUGGAACUGCGGAGUGUAGAGGUGAAAUUCGUAGAUAUUCGCAAGAACACCAGUGGCGAAGGCGGCUCACUGGCCCGAUACUGACGCUGAGGUGCGAAAGCGUGGGGAGCAAACAGG
rnacentral:rRNA from 1 species